rnacentral:rRNA from 1 species
UCCGUAGGUGAACCUGCGGAAGGAUCAUUGUCGAAUCCUAGGAAAGCAUGACCGUGGACAAGUUGUUAAACAGUGGGACGUGUCGUGCUGCCUACGGGCGGCUCGACGCCUCCACCCGGCGGGCCAGGGGGACGUGCGCCCCCAGCCUUCCGGAUCGAACGAACUCCGGCGCGGACAGCGCUAAGGAAGCAAAAAUCGGACGAGUUGUCCCCGCGGCCCUUCCUUGGGCUGCGCGGGGCGAAGGUCAAUCAAUACAAUAACGACUCUCGGCAACGGAUAUCUCGGCUCUCGCAUCGAUGAAGAACGUAGCGAAAUGCGAUACUUGGUGUGAAUUGCAGAAUCCCGUGAACCAUCGAGUCUUUGAACGCAAGUUGCGCCCGAGGCCAUUAGGCCGAGGGCACGUCUGCCUGGGCGUCACGUAUCGUGUUGCCCCCACCCGUCCGUGCGUGGGGAGCGAAGCUUGGCCUCCCGUGAGUUCCUAACUCCCGGAUGGCUUAAAAGUGAGCCUCGAGGCGGUGAUGUCGUCGCGACAAGUGGUGGUCAAGAGGCCUUUGAGCCUCGGAACUUUGCGGGUCGCGCGAAUGCCGUUCCUCCUCGUGCCCGAAAGUAACUCGAACGGAGCGUUGCGGCGCUGCCAGUGUUGGGACCCCAGGUCAGGCGGGACUACCCGCUGAGUUAA